UUUGAUUUAUUUACUUUGUGGAAGAGAAAAGAAAAGAAAAAAAAAAAAGAAAACAAACCUAGGGUUUCAUCUCUAUCUCUUUCUCCUCUCCCACCCCUCUAGCCGCCACACCCCUCCUCUAUUUUCCGGCAGCCCAUACCCCUCCUCCGGCAACGACGGCACAGCCACGAAACUGCAGACGGCAGCAGCAACGCAUCCUCGGCAGCAGCGUGAAUCUUCAAUCCAGCGACCCAGCCCCACGGCGGUGUUCUCUCUCGAUGGCGGCGACCCAUUGCAGCAGGCACGGCAACGUCACGACGGAGCAGCCAGCACGAUUCUAGCAACUGGACGGCGGCGCGCCCUUCCGACAGCUCUGGUUCGACGAUUCUGGUGCAGCGGCGCGGAUUGGUUCGAGCAACAGCACCGUUCGGCGAUUGUUUUGCCGGCGGUGCGACUCUUCUGCGACCCCGACGCACAGAUCUCCAGCGUCGUUAGCAAGACCGUGCGCAGCCUGUGGUUUCCUCUUCAGUGAUUCACGAUCAGCGGGGUUUAAGUGGGUUCGUGUGACUUUCGACGUUGACCCGCACCUAAACGAAGUGUGAUUUGGGUUACCCACCACUUUUUGGACCCAAAUUGACGUUACCCAUCGCUUUUUGACGUCGAAACAGCCAGCUUAAGGCCUUUCGGACUCGACUUGGGAGCCCGAACCUCCUCGGCGUCAACCCACUUCUAACCCAAGUGGUUUUAGUGUGAGUUAGUGGGAAGUCUUCGACAAGCUUAGGAGCUUUAGGAUUUUUGUUUUUGCGGGUAUCGAGCUAGCUCUUGGGAUGGUGAUGGCGAGGAGGAGGCUUGACUAGAGAGACCAUUUAACGCUGCGUCGUUAAGUUUUAAAUUUGGGUAGGAUAGUUAUAGUUGUUUAUUUGUAACUGAGUAUGUUUUGAGAUUAUAAAAUUGGGUUGUUAAGUUCCAUUUUUUUUUAAAGGAUGUGUUAGGGCUGUUUUGUUUAGCGUCAGCUUAUGUAAGUGUCAUUAAUCAGAAUGGCGCAGCAGAAGCGUGGUGAGAAUUGUUAAAGUUUGUAUUUCUAGUGGUUUAAUUCUCUA